CAGUAGCCGCGGUAAUACGAAGGGUGCAAGCGUUAAUCGGAAUUACUGGGCGUAAAGCGUGCGUAGGCGGUGAGUUAAGUCUGCUGUGAAAUCCCCGAGCUCAACCUGGGAAUGGCAGUGGAUACUGGCUCGCUAGAGUGUGUCAGAGGAUGGUGGAAUUCCCGGUGUAGCGGUGAAAUGCGUAGAGAUCGGGAGGAACAUCAGUGGCGAAGGCGGCCAUCUGGGACAACACUGACGCUGAGGCACGAAAGCGUGGGGAGCAAACAGGAUUAGAUACCCCUGUAGUCCCUGUCUCUUAUAU
rnacentral:rRNA from 1 species